UACGGAGGGUGCAAGCGUUAUCCGGAUUUACUGGGUUUAAAGGGUGCGUAGGUGGGUCUGUAAGUCAGUGGUGAAAUCUCCGAGCUUAACUCGGAAACUGCCAUUGAUACUAUAGAUCUUGAAUUAUCUGGAGGUGAGCGGAAUAUGUCAUGUAGCGGUGAAAUGCUUAGAUAUGACAUAGAACACCAAUUGCGAAGGCAGCUCACUACGGAUACAUUGACACUGAGGCACGAAAGCGUGGGGAUCAAACAGG
rnacentral:rRNA from 1 species